GGCGGGCCUGUGCAUUUGGUACCCUCCCCAUCUGGAGGACGGACAGGCCACCGGAGUGGAGCGGGUGUCCCGACUUGCAGGACAAGACGGUGGGAGCGCCGCACAAGAGCGCUCCCCCGGCCCUGGCCGGGUGAAGGGAUCCCGGGAUGCGGAGAGCAUCAGCUGAGGCUGGAGGAAUAAGGAAUUCGGCGGGAGGAAGGAGCGGGUGUCCAUAGGCCCCGACGCAUCGCACAGCUGCAAACGCUGUGGUCUUCCUGGAGCUAAAAGCGGAGGCCGAAGAGGAAGCUGGAGCGACUGGUAGGGCUCCGUUAGGGAGGGCCUUGUUCCCAAGGAAAAAGGGAACUGUAUGAGCGAACUGACAGAACUGGGGACGCAGGACCCUGGAGCUGGGAACCGCUGUGCAGGUGGGAAGGGGCCGCGGGGGCUCUUGCCAGUCGUCCUGCAGAGAUGCAAGCAUCUCCAGGGCCCACUACAGGCCUUUUCAGAGAGUCACUAGGAUGGCUCGAGGAGGACGUCCACGUGUUUGUCAGCGCAGGCUCCAUCACGCUGCAGGGACAGUCUCCAGUCUCAGAGGCCAGAAACAGCAGAGUCGUAUUCAGCAUCAGCCCUCGGAAAGCCAGGGUGAGAGCGCAGCCACCGCUCUGGAGUUCUGCCCUCCGGACAAAGGGGAAGUGCUCGGAGCGUCUCACUGCUCUGGCUCAGAAUCACCACAAGGCUUCACCUCACGACUCGCUGGCCAGAACCAGUCAUGGCUAUACCCAACCACAACUGGAACAUUUUACUAUGCCCCUGGAAGACAGCCAGCCAGAAACGCCUGAUAAACAGCACUAAAUGCUAACCACACUAACCAAGCUAACAUUUACUGAACAUGCCUGUUAUGUACUGAGCACUCUUACAUAUGCUUUUUACUUAGAAACUCAUCGACUCCUCACAAUAAAUCUAGAAAAUAGUAGUAUGAUUAUCUCCAUUUUGGCCAGGAAAGUUCAACCCUCUAAGACCCCACAGCUAGUCGAUAAAAGAUCUGGGGUUCCAGUCCACACUGUCUGGUGCCAGAGACCAUCCUCAGAGGCCCUGCGGCACUUCCCCUGUGCUGUAAGCCAGCAAUUUAUCUUCAAUCGUCCUAACCCGCAGGCUCUGCUCCACCCGUAUCCCCUCCUUCUGGGAGGCGGGUAGGGAAGCUGCCUGUGGCUCUGAACCAUAACACAGGGAAGAGGAAGAACUCUAAAAGUAGAGAAAAUUAUAGUUUCACUAAUAAUAUCAA